CCUACGUGAGGCAGCAGUGGGGAAUAUUGCGCAAUGGGCGAAAGCCUGACGCAGCGACGCCGCGUGAGGGAUGAAGGUCUUCGGAUCGUAAACCUCUGUCAGCAGGGAAGAACGGUCAAUGGGCUAAUCAGCAGUGAAUUGACGGUACCUGCAAAGGAAGCACCGGCUAACUCCGUGCCAGCAGCAGCGGUAAUACGGAGGGUGCGAGCGUUAAUCGGAAUUACUGGGCGUAAAGCGCCCGUAGGCGGUAUGUCAAGUCAAGGGUGAAAUCCCCGCGCUCGACGUGGGAACUGCCUUUGAAACGGGCAAACUGGAGUGUGUGAGAGGAUAGUGGAAUUCCAGGUGUAGGAGUGAAAUCCGUAGAUAUCUGGAGGAACAUCAGUGGCGAAGGCGACUAUCUGGCACAUAACUGACGCUGAGGAGCGAAAGCGUGGGUAGCAAACAGGAUUAGAUACCCUUGUAGUC
rnacentral:rRNA from 1 species